GAAGUAAGCGAGGCAAUCGCCGGCGCAGUGCCGAAAGGCCGCGCGGGAGGAAAGUCCGAGCUCCGCCGGGCAGGGUGCUGGGUAACCCCCAGUGGGAGCGAUCCCAAGGAAAGUGCCACAGACAUGGAGACCGCCGAUGGUCUGGAGCGUGUCUGGCUCCAUUCACAGGCAAGGAUGCAACGGUGCGGUAAGAGCGCACCAGCGGCGUGGAGACGCGUCGGCUAGGUAAACCCCACCUGGAGCAAGACCGCAUAGGAGUGCGAUGUGGCGGCCCGUCACGCACUCGGGUAGGUUGCUUGAGCGAGGCGGUGACGCUUCGCCUAGAUAGAUGAUUGCCACUCUCACAGGUGCGAGGCGCCAUUCGUGACGCCGCGUGCAGCACCGAGAGGACAGAACUCGGCUUAUUGCUUGCUUCUGCU
rnacentral:RNase_P_RNA from 1 species